GACGAACGCUGGCGGCGUGCCUAAUACAUGCAAGUCGAACGCUUCUUUCCUCCCGAGUGCUUGCACUCAAUUGGAAAGAGGAGUGGCGGACGGGUGAGUAACACGUGGGUAACCUACCCAUCAGAGGGGGAUAACACUUGGAAACAGGUGCUAAUACCGCAUAACAGUUUAUGCCGCAUGGCAUAAGAGUGAAAGGCUCUUUCGGGUGUCGCUGAUGGAUGGACCCGCGGUGCAUUAGCUAGUUGGUGAGGUAACGGCUCACCAAGGCCACGAUGCAUAGCCGACCUGAGAGGGUGAUCGGCCACACUGGGACUGAGACACGGCCCAGACUCCUACGGGAGGCAGCAGUAGGGAAUCUUCGGCAAUGGACGAAAGUCUGACCGAGCAACGCCGCGUGAGUGAAGAAGGUUUUCGGAUCGUAAAACUCUGUUGUUAGAGAAGAACAAGGACGUUAGUAACUGAACGUCCCCUGACGGUAUCUAACCAGAAGCCACGGCUAACUACGUG
rnacentral:rRNA from 1 species